AACGUAGGAGGCGAGCGUUAUCCGGAUUUACUGGGCGUAAAGCGCACGCAGGCGGCCCCAUAAGUUGGCCGUGAAAGCUCCCGGCUUAACUGGGAGAGGUCGGUCAAGACUGUGGGGCUUGAGGUUGGGAGAGGGGUGUGGAAUUCCCGGUGUAGUGGUGGAAUGCGUAGAUAUCGGGAGGAACACCAGUGGCGAAGGCGGCACCCUGGCCCACACCUGACGCUGAGGUGCGAAAGCGUGGGGAGCAAACAGG
rnacentral:rRNA from 1 species